UGGUUAGCACGUCCGCCUCACGCGUCCGGGUUUCGAGUCCCGCCAGGGUAAUGUGUGUGCGGAGUUUGCAUGUUCUCCUGUGCUGCGGGGGUUUCCUCCGGGUACACCGGUUUCCUUCCAAAGACAUGCAUGGUAGGCUCAUUGGCGUGUCUAAAGUAUCCGUAAUGUACUGGCAUGUCCAAAGUGACCCUAGUGUGUGAAUGUGUAUGUGAUGGUGCCCUGCGAUGGACUGGCACUCUGGCCAGGGUGUGCCCUGCCUUGUGCCCGAUGCUCCCUGGGAUAGGCUCCAGGUUUCCCCGUGACCCUGAAAAAGGAUAAAGCAGUAUAGAAGAUGGAUGGAUGGAUAAUAGCAGAGGUCUGUCAUCAUUAAGGAAAAGAGGCACAUCCAUGCAUAACCGCGGGAAGGUUGCUGCACCCCCUGAAGUGCCCUAAGUCGGUGGUUUUCAAAGUGGGACCAGGGAGUGCCCAGGGGGCCUCAACAAUUUGGUUUGAAAAAUAAAUAAAUACAUGAUUUUUUCUUUCUCACUCUCAGACAACCACACGCACACCCAAUCAAUUCCUAUUGUCAUGUAAUGUAAAGAUGUAAGAUGUAAUUAUUAAUAAAAAAAAAAGGGGGGGGGGGGGUAUAUUCCGAAGUCUGUAUUUUAAAUGUGUUUUAAAGACAUCUUGCAAAAGGGGGGCCUCGGUCAAAUGUUAACGCCAUUUGGGGGGCCUUGCCCUGGAAAAGUUUGGGAACCACUGCCCUAAGUAUUUAACAAAAAAUAUAGUGAAUGUAGAAUUUAUAUCAAGUGUGGGACACGGGACGCGUUAGACUGGAAAUAAUUUAUUCAUAUUUAUUGUCAUUUAUACAUUUAUUUAGAAUCAAUUAUUGUAGUUCAGUAAUUAUAUUAUUCAGCUUGCAUGGAAAUUUCUAUUGAGUAACCUGUUAUUUAUUUAUUUUCAUUUUAAAUGUAUUCAUGUGAAACUAUUUAUGCUGGUUACAUUUGUAUUAAGUGCCCGAUAUUUGUUUGGAGAAAUGCUACCUGUACAUCAUUUUCAAAAAUAAUUUCCAAUGAAUAUAAUUAAAUAUUAUGUAGCAAUAUCCUAAAUAAUUAGACAACUAAAAUAUUUAAAAGGGUAAACAUAUGGUAUGUUAUUAAUUUCAAUGCCCAUCUGUGAUUUGUGGCCUCUGUGGUCUCCUCCUUUAAAACGUUCUACAAUUUUAUCUGUAGAUAAUGCUGUACAUUUAAUUAUUUAUUAAGAGUAUUUCUUCAAGGCUUCUGUUCUCUAACAGUGGCUAAAGAACAGUGAUAAAAAAAAGAAAAGAACCCAUAUCGCUUGUUUCCAAACAAUAUAGACCUACGCUCGGAAUUCAAUAAUUCAGUCUUCCAUCCGAUACAAUUUUUAUUAUUUAAUUACUACUGUUUAUAUAAUACUAUUAAUAAUAACAAUAAUAAUCAUCAUCAUCAUAAUACAGUUUUUUACCAUCACUGUGGCACUAAUUUCAGAACCUUGAUGUCACUUUUCAAAACUCUAGACACAAAACUCAAAACGGUCAUCACUUGUAAACACAGGCUGUCCAAUGUUCAAAACAUUGCAUUGUGGAUUCAUAUCUUUAAAGAAACAUUGCACGCGCAGAAUCACUCAUUCAAAUAACUCAUUUAUCAUGAAAUUCCAUACGGACAUUUAUUUAGAUCACCCACACACAAGACACCGAUGGUUUCACUGUGUAGUUGAUCGUUCAAUCAAUAAAUGUUGUAGUAACAAAACGUGAUCGGCCCACAUGUUUCAUUAUGGUACUAGACAUAAAUACAUCACUGUAAAAUGAGUAGAAAGAAUACUACAGACAGUGGAUCAUUGAACAAAAUAGCAAAUGACCAAAUCACGUGUUUCUUUGAACCAAAGGAAAAAUAAUUAGCCUACUGUAGCUACAAAAAAUAAAACUAAAAAAACACAGUGAAAAAACACAAAUAUUGGAGGAGACCAGGUAUAAUGAUUAUUCUAUAUAAAAUCUAUCCAUCUCUAUCUGUUUUAGAUAGAUAGAUAGAUAGAUAGAUAGAUAGAUAGAUAGAUAGAUAGAUAGAUUUUUGCGUUUGUGUUUUUGUACUUUUUAAAUAACUUUUUAUAACGUGAUUUUUUAAAAUAAUAUAAAACUAUAUAACGGACAGGUAUGGAACAUGAAUGAUCAAAAAUGUUUCUGAAUACUAUAACUACUUUGAACAAGAGAACUAGGCUGUAAUAUUUUGGACUAUUUUACAUGUAAAACAUGUUGCAUUCCAUUCGUCUUGUACUCUAAAAAAACAUUCGCAUAUGAAUUAUAUAAAUUGGGACGAAGAGUACGUCUCGUUAUCCAGGACAUUGUUAAAUCUCAGACAUUAAGCUGUCAGACAUUCACUGAACAGAGCAGACGCAGAGAGAGGUAAGAGUGCAGCGGGAAAGCAAGACCUCGCGCUUGCAGGACAGUACUGGCGACAUUUGGAAAGUCCCUAAGGUUUGUCCAAAAAGUUGCUAGAUUUUUCGCUAUGCGCCUUUUUUUGUUCUUUGAAAAAAAAAAAAAAAAGUCGCUAAAGGGAUGUGAAAAGUCGUUAAGUUGCCAACACUGGUCUGUACUGACAGCUAGAUAAAAGGCAGGCUAAGCUCCGCCUCUCCCAAGCAAUAAGAAAAUACAGAGGGAGAGGGAAGACUGAGGGAAGACUGAGUUUUCCUGUUUGUACACAUUCUCUUUGAAAAGCAAUAAAAUAAUAUACCGAGUACCCAAAUGAUGCCAUGUCUAUGAAUUCUACAAAAAUUCGCGCCCCACUUCUGAUCUCUCCACGCCCCUGUGGUUGAGAAGCACCGUUUUAGGUGAAUGAAUCGUUCUCAUUCAUACGUUUAUGAAUGAUUUUAAAGAACCGAUUCUUUGACUCGCUAAAUACAGAUUUAAGAAUACACCUACUUGUCGCCACCUACUGUCGGAAACAUGUAACAGACGUAAACAGACUAAGCUUAAUUAUCUUUAUCAUUAUUAUCAGACAUUUAAAAAAAAUCAAGAUUUCAGAUAAAUCAAAGAAAACGCUGUAAGGAGAUAAGUGAAAACGUGUGAUUAAAGAAAAAUGUUCAAUCAAAUACAAAGCAUUUAUUAUAUAUAAUAGAAUUGGAUAAAGUGAAUGGAUUCAAAACUGGUCUAAUUUAAUGUUGGUUACAAAUUAUUUACACUGCACUAAAGUGUGGGGGAAACAAUUAAACAAAGUGAAACCCGGGAAAGAAUUUUAGGAAGCUAGACGCUUCCCACACCAAACACUUGGGAGAAUUUGAAAAUGACACACAGACACACAAAGUUCAAAUGGCAAGAUCUUUCAUUUAUUCCAAGAAAGGCAGAGUAUACAUCAUGCUUGACACACAACAGAGACAAUGGGUUAACUAUUGAUUGGCUAGGUGGAAGGGCAUAUUUGCAUGAAACAAGAAAGUAUUUAAAUGCACAAAUGGUGAGGGGAAAAAGGAAUGCACAAAUGGUGAGGGGCUUCAUCUGUCUGCACCUGAGUCAACAAAGCAAAAAGGUGCCAACAUAGGAACCAGGAAACGGGGUGGGGGGUCACAGAGAGUGGAGAGUGUUAAGAGUAAACUUAUCACAUAGUAAAUCUAAAAAAUGUUUUAUUUAGAAUAAUUAUUAUGUUUUUCAUUGCAGUUUACAAAGAACUAGACAGUAGAACCUGGACAGGCAUCUGAUCUAGUCCACUGAAGUGUGAAUUUGCCUCAAUAUGUUAUGCUUUACAUUUUAGCUGUAACUGAUAUUAUAGUUUUCCCACAUUUACUGUACUGUACAUACGUCCUUCAAGUAACCGUUUUGAAAGACAAAUUGAAAAUUCUGUUGUUUAACUUAUAGUUUGUUUGUUUGUUUGUUUGUUUUUACAAACUUUUCACAAACUAAGAUCUUAGACAGAAUGUUAGCCCAUGAACAAAUUCAUUGUCAUUGUAUGAACAAUUAUGCAAUGAAAGCUGAAGGUAAAUAUUACUUACUAAACUUAUUUAUAAAUGUUCUAACUUCUUUUCAUGUAUUGUU